rnacentral:rRNA from 1 species
CCUACGGGAGGCAGCAGUGGGGAAUUUUGGACAAUGGGCGCAAGCCUGAUCCAGCCAUGCCGCGUGUGGGAAGAAGGCCUUCGGGUUGUAAACCACUUUUGUCAGGGAAGAAACGGCUUUUUCUAAUACAGAGAGCUAAUGACGGUACCUGAAGAAUAAGCACCGGCUAACUACGUGCCAGCAGCCGCGGUAAUACGUAGGGUGCAAGCGUUAAUCGGAAUUACUGGGCGUAAAGCGUGCGCAGGCGGCUUUGCAAGACAGAUGUGAAAUCCCCGGGCUCAACCUGGGAACUGCAUUUGUGACUGCAUGGCUAGAGUACGGUAGAGGGGGAUGGAAUUCCGCGUGUAGCAGUGAAAUGCGUAGAUAUGCGGAGGAACACCGAUGGCGAAGGCAGGUUACUGGUACGCAACUGACGCUGAGGCACGAAAGCGUGGGGAGCAAACAGGAUUAGAUACCCUGGUAGUCCACGCCGUAAACGAUAGAGCACUAGUUAGUAGUGCGACGCUACGUGUUGUCAGCCGCAGAAAUUAAAUUAAGUAGCGUCCGCCGGGGACGGUAGUGGUCGCGAGGCGUGAAACGUACGAAAGGAAGUUAGUACGGACGUAGAGACGNGCCGACGGACGACGACGAGGGGAGGAGG